AAAUUUAUAAUAAAUAUACAUAUUUUAAUUAUAUAAAUUAUAUUUUAUAUUUUUUAUAAAUAAUUUAUGUUGUGAUAUAAAAUUAAUUUUAAAUAUUAAU
rnacentral:miRNA from 1 species